rnacentral:rRNA from 1 species
UACGAAGGGGGCUAGCGUUGCUCGGAAUCACUGGGCGUAAAGGGUGCGUAGGCGGGUUUUUAAGUCAGAGGUGAAAUCCUGGAGCUCAACUCCAGAACUGCCUUCGAUACUGGGAAGCUCGAGUCCGGGAGAGGUGAGUGGAACUGCGAGUGUAGAGGUGAAAUUCGUAGAUAUUCGCAAGAACACCAGUGGCGAAGGCGGCUCACUGGCCCGGUACUGACGCUGAGGUGCGAAAGCGUGGGGAGCAAACAGG